UGAUUUAAUAUCGAUACUACUUAGUGUUCUUUGUUACUUCAGCUUUUGUACGUUCUAAAUAUCUGCUGUAAUUAAUUGCCACAGAAGUUAAACUGAGUUACCAACUGGAUAAUAUCAAAGCUAAAAUAAUGGCCGUCCUUCCCACAUGUUACAGUAGAAGAUACUCUAGAACUGUACAAGGUUAAAAAGGUAACAUGUAGUUGGUCCCAAGGUGUCUGCCUCCUCACCCAGAGCAAGACCUCCACCUCCUCACCCAGAGCCAGACCUCCACCUCCUGUCAGAAGUCCUCCAGAACAGCUGAAAGGUGAGGCUGAGAGGCUGGGGACCGGAGGCUUGUGGUGCCAGGAUGGACCAGAGACUGAGGCUGGAGACCAGGGGCCUGCAGCACCGGACCAGAGGGUAACCAUCACCAAGCUCAUCUGAAACACUAAAAUCCACAGUAGUUUAGGUCUGGUUUUGAUCAUUUUAUGACUUUAAAUCUGUGCCAAGCUGUGAUUUGAGUUAAUUCAUACGGGGGUUAUGUAAGAGUCAUAUGAGCCAUUAUUGUUACUAGUGCUGCUACGACCGUAGUGGAUGAAUUGCUGAACGCGACAAUCUGCCUGGUGGAGGAGCUGGUGGAGGCCCUGCCUGGUGAAGGACGUCUGUCGUGGGGUAGAUGGAGCUUGACUCUGAAGUGAUCAUCACACUCACUGCCACUUCUCGUAGAAUACUGCUACCACAAACUACCGGCGUUUGUACCAUAUAUACCAGACGACUACAUCUGUUUUACCACAUGUUGAAGCAAGACUUCCGCUGUUUGUUCCAGACCAGGAAUCUGUCUGAGGAGAGCUGCUGGAUUCCUCAAUGUGUUUCUGGAGCGGAGGCGAGCUGGUAGGGGAGCCGUGAAUCUGGAGGAUGACCAUCAGUCCACCAACAAGGAUUACGUUGGGGCCAGACUCGCGCUGUUUGUUGCAGACCAGGACUCUGGCUGAGGUGAGCUGAUGGAGGAGCCAAGACUCUGGAGGACGACAUCACUCUACCAACCAGGAUCCUCAGACAAAUUACGUUUGCAACCAGACCAGGAAUCUGGAGGACUGAUGGAGAAGCCAUACAUCUGGAAGGCAAAUCCUGAGGACAACCAGGACUCUACCAUCAAGGAUUCCUCACACACCUGAGCUGAACCUCACCUGAUCCUGUUUGGUCGGGGGUAGACACACCUGAGCUGAACUCGCCCUGAUCCUGACAUCCUGCUGGUCCCGUCUCCUCAGUUAAUCUGCGCCUCGUCCUCCAGAAGACCUGCUGAGCUCAGCAGUCUGAGGCUGAUGGAUAAAUGACCUCCAGUGGGAGUGAUCUUCUUGACCCCACAUAGUUUGACCGAGCAGCAAGGGUGAUCUAUGAGGUUCCCCACGAGGACUCUGAGGUGGACGGAACCAGCACCAGCUCGUCCAAAGGGUCCUCCCAGUGGUGUCAGGUACCCGUGUAUGAGUCCUUCGACUACUUUGAGUGUGUGGUGGAAAGCAAGGGCGGUGGAUGAAGGAGUCUCAAUCUGUUGUUUCCCUUGUUGGUGUUGUAAAUAUCUCUGAUACGUUCUGUCAUCUUCUGUGUCCGUCCAUGUUGUUUUAAAUAAGCUAAUUAAAAGUCAUAAAUUAACUGUGAAACAGCAAUGAAGCCUUAUUGUAAUUGAUAAUGAGUGAUGAUUGUAUGUAAAUGUGAAUGAAUUAUUUUUAUAGAGUAACUGAUGUUCUCUAAUACUUCAGCAGACCGCAAUGUGGUCUGCCCUUUAUUUCCACAAGGCCUGUGUGUGUGUGUGUGGGUGUGGGUGUGGGUGUAGGUGUGUGCGUCUAGAUCUUUUGCGAAUGCUGUCAGUGUGGAAACUAUCUUAAUCUGAGGAAGUGCAGUGUGAGACAGCUAAACUUGUGGAAAAAAGUAAUCUUCCACCCCACAGGUUGUUAAUUGGUUGAUUAGACAAAGCGAAAAGCUAAACAUUAGGCAGGUUUCACUAUGACCGUCGCUAAUGGUAAACUGUUGAGGAUUGGGCGUGUGUUUCUCUGAGUGGUGAAGAAGAGGCUCUAUGCAGUAGGCCAUGGACAGGAAGUGAAGAACUCGUCUGUGCACAUCCGUUCUCAUUGAAUGUAGACUGCAAGGCUACCUUCAGUGGUUGACCGGAUUUUUUUUAGCAUCCUUUGCAACACGUCCAAGAAGGGAUAAGAGGUUCCAUUUACCUAAAAUGCCUGCUUGCUUAUUCCAAACGUGUUUUAAGCAAGACUUAUGAGGUUCAACGUAUCGACUUUUGACUUUAAAUAUAUACAGACGUGUUGACUUGUAUAUACUUGUUGACUUUUACCUGUACGCUUGCGUAUGUUUGUGGUUAGAGGACGAAAGUUUGUGUGUGUGAAUGUGUGUGUGUGUGUGUGUGUGUGUGUGCGUUUGUUUGUGUCUGUGUGUGUGUGUGUGCAUAUGUGUGUGUGUGUGUGUGUGUGUGUGUGUGUGCAUAUGUGUGUGUGUGUGUGUGUCUGAUGGAAGUGGGAGGUACGAUGUCUGUAAGAAAGCGAUCACAAGAGCUGAGUGGUGCAUCAGUGGAGGAUGGAGUUUCCACUGAGGACUAUGUUGCUUCUCUCUCUGGGGCCGCUGCUGGCUCGGGAAACCUUUACCAAGGACGAUAUAAAGCUGUAUGAGACGGCCGAUGUGGAGGUCUCGGAGGGAGACAGCGUCACACUCCAUUGUGGCUUGAGACUCAUCAACCCCAAAAAGUAUAAAGUGAACUGGUUGAAAUAUAAGGGUCAAAUUCCUCACCAACCGACAGCCGUGAGGUAUGACGGAGAGGGCUGUGGUUCGGCCCUGUCACCUGUGAACAACGGUACCUGUGGCUGUGCCACCCUGACCCUUCCCAAUGUCACCCGCAACCACGCUGGGCGUUACAUCUGCCAGGUGACCAUCGACAGGCCCAUACUUAUUCAGUAUUGGGGAAACGGCACGAUGAUCACUGUCACGGAACGACGGAGCCCUACCAACGGAGCAACACAAAAAAAUUCCGCUGAACACGCUGCAAUGCAAUUCCCCGUCAUCGUUUCGCUGGGAAUAGUAAUGGCCGCCGUGUUCUUUGUCACUCUGUUAUGUCUGUGGAAGCUGCGGAAGAGACAAGGGUUGGACCGAGCAGCAAGGGUGAUCUAUGAGGUUCCCCACGAGGACUCUGAGGUGGACGGAACCAGCACCAGCUCGUCCAAAGGGUCCUCCCAGUGGUGUCAGGUACCAGUGUACGAGUCCUUCGACUACUUUGAGUGUGUGGUGGAAAGCAAGGGCAGUGGAUGAAGGAGUCUCAAUCGGUUGUUUCCCUUGUUGGUUUUGUAAAUAUCUCUGAUACGUUCUGUCAUCUUCUGUUUCCAUCCAAGUUGUUUUUAAAUAAGCUAAUUGAAAGUCAUACAUUAACUGUGAAAUAGCAAUGAAGCCCUAUUAGAUGUAAAUGAUGAUGAGUGUAUCUCAUUGUGAAUAAACUAUUUUAAUAUAGUAAAUCAUGUUCUCUGAUACCUCAGCU